rnacentral:lncRNA from 1 species
CUCUACCGAAGAAUUUGAUCGACGUGUAAGGUUAGUUCUUCCCUCUCAGUAGUGGUGUGACUAAUCUUUGUCAGAGAAGGUGCACGAGAUGAAUUCUCUCCUCUCAAUCGAAUUUUAUCCAUACACAAGAAUCAUUUAUCGAACAUAACCGCUCAAUUAUUGAUCAUAUUAUGCUAAUGUGUAGUUUUUGCAUGCUAAUUCUCCUUUAGUUUUUGCUUACUCCCCUCUAAUUUCCGCAUCUUAGCAUUUAGUCAGACCCUACACCUUUGAAAGUGACCUAAUUCCGGUUGGUGAAGCAUCGAAUCCUUUCAAAUCUUUCAGAAAGAUCAAACACAUUGUUCAAUCUUAAUUCUUAACCACCAAAUUCACCCACUAUCCGUACGUGUGUGCAAGCUAUAAAAUUGAAAUCUUAGAAAGAAAAAAAAAUCAUUAAUAGAUAAUUUGCAAAAAAUUUCUGACCUUACUUAUUUCAUGUACAUAAAUUUUUCUACAUGAAACCGGCUAAAAAAUUAAAGGACCACAUGACAUCAAUCAAUAGCUUAAAUUUGAAAAAAUAAAAUAAAAUAGUUACUAAUUCUAACAAGAAAAUAGAUAGUGAGGUACUUCAUUUUAGAUAUUGUCCCAUUUUAUUAUAUUAUCAUUAUACUGUUUUGGCCCAAAAUAAUCAAUCAAUCAUUAUCAUAAGUUGAGUUUUAUUUUAAUCUCAAUAUAUUGUGGCCCUUCUAGUGACGCCAAAGAUAAGAUGAUAUCAAUGAGAUAUUAAGGUACAUGACAACCCAACUAGACUCAACAAAAUAUUAAGGUAUCAAUGAGAUUCUCCAAUAAUGUAAUGUAACUGAAUUUUUUCAGGUACAUGGAUGAUGAUAUUCCAAAGGGGUUAUGUGGAUGGAGUUGGAAGGAGAAUAAAUUGUUUGAGUUGGCUUUAGCUUUGGUAGAUGAGAGGCAUCCGGAACGGUGGGAGAUGGUUGCGGCAAUUGUUGGAGGAAAAAAGAGUGCAGACGAAGUUCGGGAACAUUAUGUGAUACUUUUGGAGGAUUUGGAGCUUAUAGAAUCUGGAAAAUUUGAUCAUAAAUUUGGAGAAGAUCAUACUUGUGUUAUUGUUGACCUUACUAAGUCCUUGUGCUUGUCUGAUAAUAAUAUUGAUUGAUAUAGCUUCAUGUAAGUUCUUACUUUUUAUGUAACAAAACUAAAAUAAUUUUAUCUUUAUUCUCUCAUAUAACUUGAUGAUGUUCUGUUUUGUAUUCUUUUAUGCUCCUACUUUAGUAUUUUUAUCAUAUAAACUAUCAUGCUAUACUAAUUCCUAUGGUAAGUAGUAACAUCAUAAGCUUAGAAAUUUCAUUAAUCUUGUUUAUAUCAUAGUCUUAGAGAAUAAAACUUUCAUGCUUCAUGCAUAAUCACUUGAACUGUGUCAGAUGACUCAAUACGUGCAGGAAAAGGUAUACAUCAACUAAUGUAAUGUCUGUUCGAGGAUUGGUUUUGCCAUCAAAAAACGUUAGCGGCGCAGCUUGUUGUCUGUGUUUGUCUUUCAUUCAUAUAUAAUUAUAUUGAAUAUAUAUAAUCCAAAACAGGAUAAUAAGUUGGCUUAAUCAUGCAAACAGCAGUACAAGAAGUUACAGAAUAAGUCUUGACUCAAUGUCCAUCCUAGUAAUAUAACAGUAGUUUAUCUGUAUUUAAUUACAAUAUAAAGAAUAACAGCUUAAUUGCAGCCACAAUUUAGAACAAUUUGUCCCAUGACAUAUAUCAGUAGUUUCUGGUAAAAUUUCAAGAGAUGAUUUUAUCUACCAUCUCUUAUCUCACCAUAUAUUUGUCUGAAAUUGAAUGAAUGGUGACAAGAUAUGAAGACAUGAAUCAAGUAGCAUAUUCCAAUGAUAAGGUAUUUAAGAACAUGGAAACAUAAAGACAAGAGAGAUCAUUAGUGACAAAAUGUGUUUGUUUAGCCAAAGCUCAUCAACAUCACUGCCUUUUAAAGUUGAAUCCACAAAUUGAACUCAUUUAAAUAUACAAAUCAUACAAGAUAAUAAAUAAAUCAAAAAAUUUAAAAAAAAUAAAGGAAAGGGACUAAGUAUUAAAUAUUAAUGGAAACAAAGCCAGGGAAGAGGCAGUGCAUGAGCGGAGUCACAACAGCUAUCUCAUCUGUUGAUGGUUCCAUCCAUGCUCUGUCUGUUCCCUGCCUUCGUCUUGUCGCUAACUAUUAAUCUCAGCCCCCAACCUUUUUUACAUCUAAAUUAAAUUAUCUUACCUCCUCCAUGUUAGACAUCCUUAGUGUUAAGCAGCUUCUCAUAGUCUUAUAAAACUCUCAUAUUCAAUAAGAUUCCCUUCUCAUUGAAAAUUUGGUUUGUUAAAUUAUUCAUAAAAUGCAAUGUUGAAUGAAGGUAUUGAUUGAUUCUGAUUCUAUAUGUAAUAAUCACAUAAAGGAGGGGAUGUUUGUACUUUGCAAUUUUGCAGUACAUAUACAUGUACUAGGAAAUUUUAGGUGUACUACUUAAUGUACUACUAUUAGUAGCCAACUCAGCUUAGCUAAAUCAAAUUUU